rnacentral:rRNA from 1 species
GUGCCAGCAGCCGCGGUAAAACGUAGGGGGCGAGCGUUAUCCGGAUUUACUGGGCGUAAAGCGCCCGCAGGCGGCGGGUCAAGUUGGACGUGAAAGCUCCCGGCUUAACUGGGAGAGGUCGUACAAAACUGACCGGCUAGAGGCUGAGAGAGGAGAGCAGAAUUCCCGGUGUAGUGGUGGAAUGCGUAGAUAUCGGGAGGAAUACCAGUGGCGAAGGCGGCUCUCUGGCUCAGAACUGACGCUGAGGGGCGAAAGCGUGGGGAGCGAACGGGAUUAGAUACCCCUGUAGUCC